GUUCCAAUAAGACUAUAAGAGAAUUGAAAG
rnacentral:other from 14 species